ensembl:lincRNA Gm1965 predicted gene 1965
GUUCACCUCUCUGCAGCCGCUAGCCUUCCAACCAGCUCCUUCUGCGAGACAGCCUCUUUGCUCAGGGCCUCCCUGCAUCAGAGAAAAAUGAGUGAUGUGCCUGCUCAUCUCAGUGACCUGCUUGUCCCUAAGUGACCUCAUCUCUUGGUGGCCUCUUCUCAGCUAAGGAAGACACCCCCAGAACCCAUCUAGGGAGGAGUAGCUGCCAGACAAGGAGAGUGGAAUUUCAGCCUUUACAUUGAGGUGUAGCUGGAGCAAGAGCAGAGCUCAUUCCUGGAGAGAGCCACCACCCAGGAACAAGCUAUGAGAAGAAACAUCACCAACCAAGCUUUCGGAGAAACCCACAUGCCUGUGACUGCCUCAGCCUAUAGUCUCUGGGGUGGUAUGAGGAAAGGAUUCCUAACCGAUCCAUGCCUGAGCUCCAUCACCAGUGUCUCCUAUGUUACCUACAAAGUUGAAAACAUCCCGAUACCAACUUGCCCACUCCCCAUUGUUUACACAUGGAUACCCUUGGGCUAUAAUAUGAAGCGGGGUGUUGCUGUGCCCAAUAUAUGGUCCAGGCAGGUCUCCGACUUCUAUCACCAACUCGAGAGCCUGUGCCCAGAUGCUGUGGCACCCAACGCAUUUCCCUGUAGUCUCAAGGCAAUCCUACCCUCAUUCCUUUAAUUUUUCUUUCUUUGGCCAAUGACAUUUCCAGCCAUUGUCCCCAAGUUCAAUACUAGAUUCUAACCUGCCUGGAAGGGUAGAAGAGGCCUUGGGAUGGUGUGUGAGCAGCCCAGAUACCUGUCAGUCCAGCCCUCAAAUGUUUGCCCCUUCAACCCAGCAACCCCAACUGCCUACCCUGAAGAAUCCACUACGGCCUCUUGGAGCAGCUGGUGGGAUGUUCAGAGCUGUAUCCUUUGAGCCAGCAGCCAGCCUCUACUGCCUGAAGGGUCUCAGCCAUGAUGCCCCACUCCCCAUGCUCACAUGCCUUUCUGGCCUUCAAGGGGCCCAUUGGUUCUUUUGUUUUUCUCUUUUUUUCUUCUGAACUCAUUAUCGGCACCUUUACUCCCAGCUUCUGUUCCGGACCAGUUAUCACUUGUCAUCUACCUGGGCAGAUAAAUUUUGUAUAUAAAUUAAAAAACAAACAAACAAACAAACAAAACUACACAACCACUAAGCUGAGAAACCUGUAAACUAUCAAGAUCCACCACCUACACUAGGCCCUCUUUUGCACUGAAAUGGAUCUCACUGUUCAGUACCUGGGCAUCCUGUGUACUACCGAGUCCCCAGUGCUUAUACAUGAAUGCCCUGGGGCAGUUAUCUCAGGUGGCUUCUUCCUAUGCCCUCAGUGUGGUCAAGGGAGGCCACCAGCUUUUAUUACCAACUCGAGAGCCAGUACCCAGAUACCAUGGAGUCCAAUAUGUUACCUUGUUUCAUGGGAUUCCCACCCCCGACUUCCUCAGGCUUUCAAAGCCUCUGCCCAGUCCUCUUCCCUCAGAGAAGGUCCCUGGCUGCCAUGUAGUGACCCCAGAGCAUUCUGGCAUCACAGAACCCAGCAGGCACUCCCCGAAAUCUCUUGAAAAGCCCCACUUAAUGGAGGAUGGACUUGGGGCGGGGGUAGGGUGGGGAAACAGGUUCACUGCACACACACACACACACCCCAUAUUGUUUCCUCUCAAGAGCUGGUAACACCGUCCC